GGAGAGGUGUCCGAGUGGUUGAAGGAGCUGGCCUCGAAAGUCAGUGUAGUUAUAUAGCUACCGUGGGUUCGAAUCCCACCCUCUCUGCCA
rnacentral:tRNA from 1 species